UACGUAGGGUGCAAGCGUUGUCCGGAAUUAUUGGGCGUAAAGAGCUCGUAGGCGGUUUGUCGCGUCUGCUGUGAAAACCCGGGGCUCAACCCCGGGCCUGCAUUCGAUACGGGCAGACUAGAGUUCGGUAGGGGAGUCUGGAAUUCCUGGUGUAGCGGUGAAAUGCGCAGAUAUCAGGAGGAACACCGGUGGCGAAGGCGGGACUCUGGGCCGAUACUGACGCUGAGGAGCGAAAGCAUGGGGAGCGAACAGG
rnacentral:rRNA from 1 species